rnacentral:rRNA from 1 species
UACGGAGGGUGCAAGCAUUGAUCGGAAUUACUGGGCGUAAAGGGCGCGUAGGCGGUAAGAUAAGUCAGAUGUGAAAUUCCGGGGCUCAACCCCGGAGCUGCAUUUGAAACUGUCUAACUAGAGUGCAGUUAGGGUAAACGGAAUUCCACGUGUAGCGGUGAAAUGCGUAGAUAUGUGGAAGAACACCGGUGGUGAAGACGGUUUACUGGGCUGAAACUGACGCUGAGGCGCGAAAGCAUGGGGAGCAAAC